rnacentral:rRNA from 1 species
AUGUUAUCUAUCUAUCUACCUAUUGCUUCUCUGUAUCUGUCAAUGGCCAUGGUUCAUGGUAACUGCUCUGGCUCCAAACUUUUUCCUAUGGAUACUGCACCUGGCUAUAUAUGUGUUUUCCUUUUUGUCAGCUCAUUGCCGAGGUUUGUGUCAUCUGAACUUCGAGAGACAUUCCUAUUCUCCAAAUCCAAGAAUCCAGGCAAACUCAAGUUCAGGCGCACAGCAUACGUAAAAUGCUACUCUGAGUUCAACCUUAGUCCAAAACUACAACACUUAUUUUGGAUCGAAGGCAGUAGCUAA